rnacentral:rRNA from 1 species
AGCGAACGCUGGCGGCAGGCUUAACACAUGCAAGUCGAACGGGCAUAGCAAUAUGUCAGUGGCAGACGGGUGAGUAACGCGUGGGAACGUACCUUUUGGUUCGGAACAACACAGGGAAACUUGUGCUAAUACCGGAUAAGCCCUUACGGGGAAAGAUUUAUCGCCGAAAGAUCGGCCCGCGUCUGAUUAGCUAGUUGGUAGGGUAAUGGCCUACCAAGGCGACGAUCAGUAGCUGGUCUGAGAGGAUGAUCAGCCACAUUGGGACUGAGACACGGCCCAAACUCCUACGGGAAGCAGCAGUGGGGAAUAUUGGGCAAUGGGCGAAAGCCUGAUCCAGCCAUGCCGCGUGAGUGAUGAAGGCCCUAGGGUUGUAAAGCUCUUUUGUGCGGGAAGAUAAUGACGGUACCGCAAGAAUAAGCCCCGGCUAACUUCGUG